CCUACGGGAGGCAGCAGUGGGGAAUAUUGGGCAAUGGGCGCAAGCCUGACCCAGCAACGCCGCGUGAAGGAAGAAGGCUUUCUGGUUGUAAACUUCUUUUCUCAGGGACGAAACACGUUACGGUUCCUGAGUAAUCAACCGCAGCUAACUACGUACCAGCAGCCGCCGUACUACGUAGGUGGCAGGCGUUAUGCGGAUUUAAUGGGUGUAAAGGGCGUAUAGGCGGGAAAGGAAGUCAGAUGUGAACACCAUGGGCUCAACCUGUGGCCUGCAGUUGAAACUGUUGUGCUUGAGUACUGGAGAGGCAGACGGAAUUCCUAGUGUAGCGGUGAAAUGCGUAGAUAUUAGGAGGAACACCAGUGGCGAAGGCGGUCUGCUGGAGAGCAACUGACGCUGAGGCGCGAAAGCGUGGGGAGCAAACAGGAUUAGAUACCCGUGUAGUC
rnacentral:rRNA from 1 species